CCGCGAUUGUUUCUCGCAACUUCAAACGUCUUCUCGAAAGUGAGGGAAACAAAGUGGCAAAUGCCACAGGAGGUCAUCAACUCAUAAUUGCGCCGUGUUGGACUAAAAUCUCAGCAAUGUCGCUACUCUGCGUGCGAGUGAAAAAAGCCAAGCUGCAAGGACCUCCAGACAAGUUUAAUGUGUAUGUCACGUUGAAGGUCCAGAAUGUUAAAAGCACAACCAUCACGGUGCGAGGAGACCAGCCCUG